AUCAACUGCAGCAACGGACCGCUGCAGGAUCAAGGACGAUUGACCGUUGCCAGGCAUUGGCGGCCAACAGGAAGUUGGACGGUGUUGGAAAAGCCCGCUUCGGCGGGUUUUUU
rnacentral:sRNA from 1 species